AAAUGCGAUAAUUAAUGUGAAUUGCAGAAUUCAGUGAAUCAUCGAGUCUUUGAACGCACAUUGGGCCCCCUGGUAUUCCGGGGGGCAUGCCUGUCCGAGCGUCAUUGCUGCCCUCAAGCACGGCUUGUGUGUUGGGCUUCCGUCCCUGGCAACGGGGACGGGCCCAAAAGGCAGUGGCGGCACCAUGUCUGGUCCUCGAGCGUAUGGGGCUUUGUCACCCGCUCCCGUAGGUCCAGCUGGCAGCUAGCCUCGCAACCAAUCUUUUUAACCAGGUUGACCUCGGAUCAGGUAGGGAUACCCGCUGAACUUAAGC
rnacentral:misc_RNA from 1 species